GUCGAGAAUCUUUCACAAUGGGGGCAACCCUGAUGGAGCGACGCCGCGUGGAGGAUAAGGUCUUCGGAUUGUAAACUCCUGUCAUGCGUGAACAAGGUUGCUUGGAUAAUACCUGAGCAAAUUGAUGGUAGCGCAAGAGGAAGAGACGGCUAACUCUGUGCCAGCAGCCGCGGUAAUACAGAGGUCUCAAGCGUUGUUCGGAAUCACUGGGCGUAACGGGUGCGUAGGGGGCGUGGUAAGUCAGAUGUGAAAGCCCGGGGCUCAACCUCGGAACUGCAUCCGAUACUGCCAUGCUAGAGUACUGGAGAGGUGACUAGAAUUCUCGGUGUAGCAGUGAAAUGCGUAGAUAUCGAGAGGAAUACCAAAGGCGUAGGCAGGUCACUGGACAGUUACUGACACUGAGGCACGAAGGCCAGGGGAGCGAACGGGAUUAGAUACCCGGGUAGUCC
rnacentral:rRNA from 1 species